UACGUAGGGUGCGAGCGUUGUCCGGAUUUAUUGGGCGUAAAGAGCGUGUAGGCGGCCAAGUAGGUCCGGUGUGAAAACUCGAGGCUUAACCUCGAGAUGUCAUCGGAAACCAUUUGGCUAGAGUCCGGGAAGAGGAAAGUGGAAUUCCUGGUGUAGCGGUGAAAUGCGCAGAUAUCAGGAAGAACACCAAUGGCGAAGGCAGCCCCCCUGGGUCAAGAUGACGCUCAUGCACGAAAGCGUGGGGAGCAAACAGGA
rnacentral:rRNA from 1 species